rnacentral:tRNA from 1 species
GCCUUCGUGGUGUAGUGGUUCUGCACGCUCGGCCGAUAUUCCAGAGGUCUCUGGUUCGAUUCCCGGCGAAGGCG